CCUGCCCGUGGGAGCGUGAGGUCCGACUUCAAAAACACGGGAUAAGCUUGUAGAAGCCGAGCCGAUGGUGUUUCCGGACGCGGGUUCGAAUCCCGCCACCUCCACCA
rnacentral:tmRNA from 1 species